GACGAACGCUGGCGGCGUGCUUAACACAUGCAAGUCGAACGGAAAGGCCAGUGCUUGCACUGGUACUCGAGUGGCGAACGGGUGAGUAACACGUGGGUGAUCUGCCUUGCACUCUGGGAUAAGCUUGGGAAACUGGGUCUAAUACCGGAUAUGAACUGCCUUUAGUGUGGUGGUUGGAAAGUUUUUUCGGUGCAAGAUGAGCUCGCGGCGUAUCAGCUUGUUGGUGGGGUAAUGGCCGACCAAGGCGUCGACGGGUAGCCGGCCUGAGAGCGUGUACGGCCACAUUGGUCCUGAGAUACGGCGCAGACUGCUACGGGAGGCAGCGGUGGGGAACAUUGCACAAUGGGCGCACGCCUGAUGAAGAGACGCCGCGUGGGGGAUGACGGCCUUCGGGUUGUAAACUCCUUUCGACAGGGACGCAGCGUAAGUGACGGUACCUGUAGAAGAAGCACCGGCUAACUACGUG
rnacentral:rRNA from 1 species